rnacentral:rRNA from 1 species
UACGUAGGCAGCAAGCGUUGUUCGGAAUUACUGGGCGUAAAGGGCGCGUAGGCGGCCCUCCUUGUCGCGUGUGAAAGCCCCGGGCUCAACCUGGGAACGGCGCGCGAGACGGGGGGGCUGGAGUUCGGGAGAGGAGCGUGGAAUUCCCAGUGUAGAGGUGAAAUUCGUAGAUAUUGGGAAGAACACCGGUGGCGAAGGCGGCGCUCUGGACCGAGACUGACGCUGAGGUGCGAAAGCGUGGGGAGCAAACAGG